UAGCGACAAGAAACGCCCUGUAAGUGAUCUUCAUCUUCACGCUGGAGGCUGUAAAUCUAGGAACGAUCGCUUGAUCACGAGCACUACACAAACUGUAUGAUGUCGAUGACGACAACUGCGCGGCUAUCUUUUCAUAAAUGUAUACACUCUGGUUCGUGCGCUCGGACAUCUGUGAUGUGUAUUCCACGUGUGUAGGCGACCAUUCCCAUUCUGAUUAUAUUCAUAUGUAUACGGGGUAUUCCUUGUCAGUCGCAGCCACUUUGUUCUGUUGAUCUCGGAAAUUUUUUUUUUUUUCACUUCCUCAGUUUUGUAGUACUACUCGAAAAACAUUCCUGUGAAUUACACCAUAUCUUUAAAAUCAACUAUUUCAAAGAUAUAAGGUUCGUCACAGAUUCGAAUUGCUAUCGACAUUAGAAUGAAACAAAUACGGGCGGGAGAGGAUCAAACACAGAUCAAGUUUCAUCUGGUAUUAUAAAACGUGCAGGAAUUCGCCACCACCUCCCUAGUCUAUGCUCUUGACCGAUCCCUGCCACUAGACUGCUUCCGUCAGGCGUAAAUGCUAAGGCAUUUACGAAUCCACAGACUUUUAUCUCCAUCAAUUGCGUCAAGCUUCUAAAUGCCUCUCCGCAUUUCCAUAGCCUUAUAAGUCCAUCUCUGGAACCUGAAACGGAAGCUACAAUUGCGUUAAAAAGUCCAACCAUGCUCUUCGAAUACCUCAUAGGCUAGUUUAUAGGAGGCGACUUACCAGAGGCAACAAGGUCUGUGUUGAGUAGAGUGGCGAUGCUGGAUAUCCAUGUAGGUCGUCCAUUACUUUCGUCUCUGCCGUGCGCCUCUGGGACGGAGCACAGUGGCUUUUUUUUCAUAGAUCCCCAGACACAGAGUUGGCCAU